CGAACACCUGCAAUCGAAUGAUACCCGAAUGUGUUAAGAGGAAGAUAAAUUUUUCGAAACGGCCGUGGGUCUGUCGACGCAACUAAACGCUCCGUAUCCGACGCCGCGAGUCCUGAGUGAGUUUUCUGAUUUCGAAUUUUGAAAUUGUGCACACACGCGAAUGAUUUGCAUGAUCGUCCAUCAAAUGGGAACCGUACAACGUGUUAUCGUCGUUGCAAUGCACAAUAUCUCGGUAUCUCCUGGGCUAUCGGAAAUUGAUAUCGGCCCGUUUACACGUCAUUCCCGCGUAAUUAUGCGCGAAAUAUUGCGCAUCGCUCGCGGAUGGGAAUGCGAUAGCGGAUGAUUUACGCGUUGCGAUUGGUCGCGUAAUAUCAUAUUGAAUGAAACGAGCUUGGCGCAUGUAAUACGCGCGCGGGACUGCGAUUCCAGAUUGCUUGGGCGUUGCGCGAUCAUAUAAAGUGGGUUAAUUUUGUACUUGCACGAAACUGCAAAACACAUAAUGUCUCCGCUUCGCGAGUAUCGCGUGCGGUUCUCACAGCGCCGCGGACCGACGACAUCCAUGAGCGCGCUUCCCACAUGUUAACGCACUCGGGAGUAUUCUGCUUAUUAGCGAUUCGAGCGCGAAGCAAAAAAGUUUGCGAAUGUUAAUGUAUCUGCACGCGGCGUACGCAAGGAUUAUUGUUUCCACCCUCUUAGAGCUGCCCGUUCGUUACUCAACAAAGUGUUUCGUGGAAGAGUCUUUCCUCAACACGUUGACUGUUGUCGCCUUCAUUUCCAUUAUUCGUAUCCAGUGGUGCGAUUCUAUAACUCGUUAUUGGCGUUAACGACACUUUUGUUAACUCCAAUAACGAGUUAAAGAAUCGCACCACAGGAGCUUAACUAAAAAUUGGAUUACCAUUAUAAUGGUAAUUGGCCGUAAGUCCGAUUUUUCAAAUGCAGUUAUACUUGAUGUCCGUAAUUAUAAUUUAAUUUUAUAUUAACUUAAUAUGUGAGACAUGAUAGAAUUAUAGCGCCGAUUGUUUCUGAGCGUUACGGCAUUCAAUGUGUUGCCACGAUCAAAACAUCCCAGAAAACAAUAGGAAAUUCUCGUAGAUACUUAUUUUAUUUACUAUACGUGUUCCAUUGCAGACAGAACGGCGUCGUGAUAGGUGAAACCGUUGGGGCGAAAUGAUUCACGACACAGGGAAAAAACGAUUGUCGUGCAGCGCGAAAGAAGCAAAACGUAUUAUUACGGACUAACGGACUGAGCGAUGUUCGAAUUAUCCAUACUGGUGCGAUUCUUUAACUCGUUAUUAGAGUUAACGACAGUUUCGUUAUCGUUGCGUAGCUUUUCUACGGUAUACAAAAAGAGUAUCACACCACUGGAGAGGAACUGAACAUGCACCGGCCUCGGUGGAAAUUGCGGCCAAAUGGAUUUUCGAAUUAGAUUGGCGCUUUUUAAUGCGCCGCUCGGCAGACGAUCGCGUGCCGGUAAUUAAACGAAGGCGAAGGGAUUAAAGGCUCUCGCACGACAACGUAACCGAUCAACUCUCUACGCCACACGACGACGACGAUGACGAUGACGAUGACGACGACGACUACAACUACAACUACAACAUAUCGCCCGACGUUAUCACCCGCACGCGAAAUUCAUUGUCGCGCCGUAUAAGUGCUCGUUUGCUUGCCUGCCUCGCAACUCGCUCUUUUCGCGACGCUUAGUUUAUCGCUGUUGUGCUUAAUCGCUCAAACGACAUCGGUUUUAUAUGACAUGCGCGUCGCACGGAAGAUUCGAGAGAAUUUUUACAUCUAGUUUAGAUAGUGUUAGACAUAUAGUGUUAAAUUCUCCCGGUGGUAAUGCGGCGGCUCGUUCAUUUUCCUUUAUCUAUCCUUCCGUUCCUUUCACUUCCUUUUUCCUUUUUUCAGCAUGACCGCAUGAGUGAUGAUACGUCGAUACGUAGCACGGGAGAAAUAAAGCAAACGGUGGAAGAAAAGAAACCAAGGCGAUGCAACAGUUCCAAGCGAACGAUCGACAUUAGAGUUUCAUGCGCGGCUUAUAAGAAGUAAGAUCAAAGCGCAUGAAGAGGAGACGAAUUAGAGAGAUCUUGCUCAGCACGGACUGCAAUCUCCGCGGUAUUAAUUUUUUAAAAGCCUUCACCACAUAGGCACGCACCUAUCUACCCACGCACGCGACCAGCCACCGCUGUGAAUUCGUGUUUGCGCUGUCUCACACGUGAGUGAUGAGCGUAUUCGGCAUACAAUUGAAGAGGCGUACCUGCAACGAUGAGAAUCUAUCGCUAAGAAACGCAGUAAUAACAGUAUAAAGGGUUGAAACCGUGGCGAUGCAGCAGCGUUGCGACGUCGUAUCUCUUUGCAGCCGGCUCCGAAGUGUCCCCGCGGCUGUCAGCACUCGACGCAGCAGCCAUACGAAGGAUUCCCGGUGUGCCGUAACUUCAGCCAGUGUCACCGACAGCGGCGGGGUGCGAAGUCAAAACGGAGCGGCGGCCAGCAGCGAAUAGCACCGUGCCUCGUACCGGCGCGGUGUCGCGCACACACACGCACCGAAGCACCGACGCGACCGAAGCAUCGCGAUUACACACGCACACACAUAUUUGCGCGCAACACAAGACGCCGUACGUGCACGCGCGCUCGUUCUUCUCGUACGCCGGCUGCUCCCCAGGUUGGAUUCCUCUGGCUAUCAGCAGUAGAGCUGUCGCUUAUCGCUUCGCGGAAAGCUAGGCACGCGUGUAGUCGCGACUGACAGUACGAUAACCACUGCUGUCGUAGAAAGGAGGACGAAAAUCUCGAGGAGAGGAUGCGAAUAGUCGGAGAGGAAGAAAGUGAUGCGAAAACGAGAGCGAAAGAGAGAGAACGCGAAAAAGUAUGAAUGGCAGAGAAAGAGACGAUGUAGAGGAGAGAGAACAGGGGAGAGAAACGAAAUGGGGAUCGACGAGAGCCGCGGAAGGAGGUGCGAGCGCGUAGGUGCUCGGGCUCGCCUUUAAAGAGAACCCCGAGGAGUCGCGAGAACGGCGGCCGAGAGUGAACGUACGCGCCGGCGACUGAAGGGGCCCGACAGAGGAGCGACUCCGACGAAGGAGGCGCUGCUGCGUUUCGUCAGUGUCGUGCUUGCUCGCUCGCGCCCACUCGUUGUCGUAACCCCGCCUUGUUUCGCCGUGACCGACCGGCGCCGCCUGACGACAGCGUCGCGACGCCGUUUCUCGUGGCGCCGUCAUGCGGUACUCGCUCUUCGACGCGGUAUCGCGCACGAGCUGGCUGGGGUGCACGCUGUCCGACGCCGUUGCGUGCUGACGAUACGUGUUUCUCUGUGUGCGUAAGGCGCGUCGCGAUGCCGCAUAACUCGAUAUGAGCGUAUGAGCACCGCGUCGAGUUUUCCGCGAAGCCCGCAAUAACGAUUUCUCGAUCAUUAUUAGAUUGACUUCUCUCUUUCCAUCUCUCUCUUUCUCGUUGAGAAAAUGUCCUUUGUUCUACCUAUUUAGACACACCGUGCACGUUUUUCUCUGUGCGAGCGAAAUUGCGGACGUCGGUAAUCGUGUGCGCGGCUAAUAUUCUUUAAGAGUCUCCUUUUCAUCAGUUCAUAUGAAACCUAAUUCGUCUAAUUUAUCAGUUCAUGUGAGCAGAGGCACUAGAACCUUUGACCUUGCGCACAUGCUUUCACAUACUUAGGAGAAUUACAAGAUUAAAGCGAUAUCACGAGAGUCAUUAAGUGAAGCCUCUCGUGUAGUUGAAAGGACAAUAUGUCUCAUAGGUAUCGGAAAUCGUUGACGAUACAACAUAUGUCUAUCAAUCAAUUUCACAAUUAAGACUAUUCUUUUUCCUUCAUUAAUAUCAGUCUUUUCCUUAAACGAAGACGUACAUUGAUUGAAAAAACUGCGCUCAUUUUUAAUAGAUUUGAAAAAUUGAAAAGGAUGCUCAUUCUUAAAAUUGCAAUUAGAUCCGAGUAAACAUACAGAUUUCUUUCUCGUUCGUUAUGUGCUCCUAAUGUUUCUAAUUUCCUACUUCAUAUCAUUCAUAGAUUCGCGUUUUAGCGGGAAAUGGUAUCAGAUUUAUUGUACACAUACGUGUGUGUAAAAAGUGAAGGAGAAGGAGAGAGAGAGAGAGAGAGAGAGAGAGAGAGAAAGAAAGAGAGAGAGAGAAUACGAGUAUAUGAGUUGGCCUUGAACCAAGGUGGCUAAAUGGCUAAGGUAAAGAACCCUUCGCGAAUCGGGUGCUCCACAAUUGUACGUACUCGAUUGUCGUGGUCGCACAACGAAGUUCUUUAUAGAACUGCGACACGUGGUGGUUCGCAGAACGUUCAUACUUUAUGUACGAUCGAAUUGUGACCUCUUAGUUUUAUGGUCGAGCCCGACUUGUGAGACCUCGGAAGCGAUAAAGAAGUGAAAUUACAAACUGUGACAACAAAGUUGAUCAGAGACGCAAGGCUGUGUUGCACAUAGAGCAAUCCGAUAAUUUUCUAUCGGAGCCGAUCGAUUUCCAAUUUAUAUUAUAGCAGUUUGCGGCAAUCACACAGGGACAGAUACUCGGUUCGACGAUGAUCCGUCAAUAUUUGCGAAUACCAAUGCGAAUUAAUCAGCGUGGCAAUGCUUCCUGCAACGAGCGGAGAUUGAUUUCGCUCCACGUGCAUGUCUGCGCUCGUAUAUAUGAAUCGUUAAUUAUUCAUGUAUAAGGAAGCAAUGUGUCGCACUUGGAAACUACAGUUUCAUCUUAUGACGUGUACACAUAUACAUUGCAAAUUGGAACUGUACAUUUUCAAACUAUAUGUAUUCUCCUGUAUGUAUUUUCCUUAGUAAUGAAUAAGAGUCGCUUUGUCGUGCUUCGAAGUGGACGAGAAACUAUCUAUCGACUUUGCGACGCGACUUUAAGACAAUACCGAGCACAGUCUGCUUCCAGGCAGUAAAAGUCGAUACUUCGGGAAACGUGAUGUAUGUAAACUUCGACCCGAGCGAGCGAGCGAGUUUCGAAUGCUUUUGUCAUCGGCGAAAUACCGCGCAAAGUCCAUAUUCGCAAUUCGGCUUGCGCAUGGUGAGUUGCGAGACCGUGGGUUUUGUAGCGUUCUAUAAAGAUUUCUCCUACUAAAUUUUCGCAUGCAUAUUUUCGCUCUUAUGCUCGUCGUGUAACGUGCCUGUUAUUACAUCACCGAUCAUAAUCUCAUCGGCAUCACGCGAUACGUCUAUCUCAUCACUUCAAUCUUCAUUUGGGCUCGCGACCACAUUUUUUUUUUAAUUUUCUCAUUAUUAUUAAAAUUAUUAUUGCCAUUGUUUGGUUUGGUUACAACAUUUGUUGCAAGAUCCUUUCGAUUAAAAGAAUUAGUUGCAGAACUCUUUCAGUUACAAAGUAAAUUCUACAAUAGCAGUGCUGACGACAGAUUGGUAUAAACGGUUAUCGAAAAUAAAUUAUCACUGAAAUAUAGAAGUUCGAGAAGAUCUUUUGCUGAAUCUCGCAACAACAUUGCAAAUAAUUUAUGAUAAUGCCUGCGAUAAAUAACGACCGCGAAAAAUGAUUUAUGCUUAUCAGUAUGUCAUAUGCCACAUGUAUUAAAUAUAUCACAUCGGCUGAUAGUACUAUUUAGUCGGCGAGAUAACGCUCUGCGUACAUUUACGAAGGUGACAUCGUUUAUAAAACAAUUCUUUCCUUCGUUUUCAUAAUAUUAAAAGGCAAGCGUUAACGAAUAUAUCGAAAUUUAUCCAUAAAUUUGUGUUCGUUUAUCGCAUUAAAGAGAAUAUACAUUGAUCGAA